UACGUAGGGUGCAAGCGUUAAUCGGAAUUACUGGGCGUAAAGCGUGCGCAGGCGGUUGUACAAGACAGAGGGGAAAUCCCCGGGCUUAACCUGGGAACUGCCUUUGUGACUGUACGGCUAGAGUGUGUCAGAGGGGGGUAGAAUUCCACGUGUAGCAGUGAAAUGCGUAGAUAUGUGGAGGAAUACCGAUGGCGAAGGCAGCCCCCUGGGAUAACACUGACGCUCAUGCACGAAAGCGUGGGGAGCAAACAGG
rnacentral:rRNA from 1 species